CCGGUACAUCUAUUUGCAUCACUCUACAAAACAUUAUCUAUAUCUCAAAAAAUAGCAAUAUAUAUACAACAGAAUUAAUUCAUACAAAGUUUUAUACAUAUAUAAAACAAAAUCUCAUUUUAGAGUAUGACUAAAGAACAUUACUUAUAAGAAGGUUCUACUUAAAGCUAUUUAAAGGUAAUUAAGGAAUUAUUGAAAAAAACAAUAGUGAGAUUAUAGAAGAAUAACUAGAUUGUCC
rnacentral:lncRNA from 1 species